GGUGGCGCCACACACGUACUACGCACGCACACGUGCACACGUUCUUUAUUAUAUUCUAUAUAAGACGACUUUACUACCUCUUCGGUCGGAAAUAUGACGGCACACACAAGCACACAUUCAAACAACGCUUGUUGAAAAGAGUAGGGAGGCUACGAAGCACCGCUCACAGAGAAGACCGAGAUAAUAGGGAAGCCAGUAUACUGUAUUCUAUCUCAUUCUCUCGCAGGCUAAAUCCUAUAGUUAUAAGUAUAUGUUUGUCUCUUUUUAAUGUCGGUACGUCAUUCUCGUUUCAUCGGCUGCGUUCCACCGACUGUGUUUCAUCGACUACGUCUCAUCGGUUUCAAAUCACAACGAUCCUAAAGAUAUUUUCACUGAAAAAAAAAACGAUUUAUUCAUGCUAAGUGUAGUUUUAUAUUAAAACCUAAUAAUUUAUGUCUUUUUAAUACAUAGAAGGCUCCGAACAUUGAUGAUGAAGUUGCUGAAGAAGUUUCAAUAAAGGGACGAAACGUUCAACAAGAUCAAAACAUAACGUUUUGAUUUCUUUUUGAAGUUAUACUUCUUUCGGCGCGUUUGGAAAAAAAUUACAAGAGUGAAUUUUUACGAUAUGCGUGCGCACUGACCAAGAAGUUUAUAGGAUGAUGUUAGUCGGUAUUUACGAUGUGCGAGCAAAGUUAUUUGAAUCAUUGAACUCUAUGAAUGUAAUCAUCAAUUUAGGUUGAAAAUGAAUAAACUGGAUAACAUGCUGUGCGAUUUUUUAUGCCUUAACAAUACGAUGACAAUUUUCUGAUUUAAAUCUAAGAAUACCGAUGAAUUACAAUCAUUCUCUUUAUCCUGAUAUUAUAACAGACAAUUGUAAGCAGAAUAGUAAUAUUCUGUUCAAUUAAAAUACUUUACCGAGUAAAA
rnacentral:lncRNA from 1 species